GCAGCCGGCCGACUGGCCUCCGAUCGUCAUGUUGAAGAAGACCUUAGGGUUCUGAGCGGCCAUGGAUUCGAGGUUAGGCUUUGGUUUUCAAAGGAAUUGGGAAAAUAGGGUUUGUGUGAUGAUGGUCAGUGAUGGAAUGUGAAGCUUGGAGUGUGGAUUCGAAUCUGGGCUGCUGAGGCGAAUCCUAAGUCAAUUUGACCAUUUGGGAUUCAAUUUAUGGAAAUUUUGAAGAUUUCUCCUCUUGUUUCACCGGAAGGCACAACCGGAGGCCGAUGUGGGAUUGAGGGCCGAGGUCUCGGGUCGUCGCUGCUGCUGUGUCGGCAAGGAGGCGACGACGGGGAACGGACCGAGCGGGAGCAGCACGAUGGGGCAGAGGCACGGGCACGCCGAUCCGGGUGAAUGGAAGCGGCGUCGGAGAGCAGCUUCGGCUGGGUGAUGCAGGUGUUGCUGCUUAUCCGGACGUCUGGCAAAAGACACUUACGCCAAACGGGAGAAAACAAAACGGUGGAGCAAAUUUGCAACCAACCAACUCACAGAUGUUCCAGCUCACAGAUAUGUAGCGCUAUAUCUACACGCCAUCAAACUUGUUGUUUCUGCCUAUUAGAAAACGCAUUUGCGUUCGUGCUCCUGUGUCUGAUUUGUGGUUAUUGUAAAUACAUACCUAUAUGCUUUUCUUAGUUGCCUAUGACAACAAUUAUGCAUACAUUGGUACUAAAUAGGAGCAAUAAAUAUAAAUUGUAACUUUGUAAGAUAUACAAUGCUUACAAUGCUUUGAAUUUAUACCUUCAAAGUUCAUGUUUUUAUGUUCCAUAUUUACAGGCUCCGUUCUCACCAACUGACCGAAGAGUGUCUUGCGCUACCAUCAGAUGAAAAAUCACGUGAACAUUAAAAUAAAGGGGAAUAUAUCUUAAGUUGGAGAAAGUUGAAAGUAUAAUGCUUAACAAUCAAGGUCAAUGGAAGGCUCGAGUCCAAAGAGAGAGUUUGGGGUGACAGACAAAGAAGUCAUAAGACAAAGUGGUUAAGAAAAAAUAUGAUCCAAGAUGCCCAGAAUGGUAAUUCUGGACGACAGCAGCAGAGCUGGCAUGGCAGAAAAAAUUCUAGCAGGGGAGAUCAAAGAGGGCGAGUCGGUUCUGUGAAUGUCGAUUCUGAUGGGAAUGCCACCGCUCGACAAUGGCAGAAGAUGUACAGAAAGAUUUUUUUUGUUUUGUUUUUUAUUUUUUGAUCAAAUGUCAUUACU